rnacentral:other from 1 species
UACUGACUACGGUGUUCGUUAGCAGCCAUCAUAAUCCUUGAGCCUAUUUAUCAAUCUCGGGGACUUCCGUGUAACACUGGUGUGCAUGCCUGACGAGUCAGGAAGCCUGAUGGGUUGCCAAUAACCCCACCUGGACCUUCGGUUCAAGGUUGAUAGAUUUGCGACGACACCGUGGUUGGUAU